CGGACNUUUCCGGAGCUUGCUCCCUGAUGUUAGCGGCGGACGGGUGAGUAACACGUGGGUAACCUGCCUGUAAGACUGGGAUAACUCCGGGAAACCGGGGCUAAUACCGGAUGGUUGUUUGAACCGCAUGGUUCAAACAUAAAAGGUGGCUUCGGCUACCACUUACAGAUGGACCCGCGGCGCAUUAGCUAGUUGGUGAGGUAACGGCUCACCAAGGCAACGAUGCGUAGCCGACCUGAGAGGGUGAUCGGCCACACUGGGACUGAGACACGGCCCAGACUCCUACGGGAGGCAGCAGUAGGGAAUCUUCCGCAAUGGACGAAAGUCUGACGGAGCAACGCCCCGUGAGUGAUGAAGGUUUUCGGAUCGUAAAGCUCUNUUUGUUAGGGAAGAACAAGUACCGUUCGAAUANNGCGGUACCUUGACGGUUACCUAACCAGAAAGCCNCNGNUUNNUACUUGCCAAUNGCCCCNGUNAUUNCGUAGGAGGCNAAGC
rnacentral:rRNA from 1 species